rnacentral:rRNA from 1 species
AUUGAACGCUGGCGGCAGGCCUAACACAUGCAAGUCGAACGAGUGGCGGACGGGUGAGUAAUGUCUGGGAAACUGCCUGAUGGAGGGGGAUAACUACUGGAAACGGUAGCUAAUACCGCAUACCAUCGGAUGUGCCCAGAUGGGAUUAGCUAGUAGGGGGGGUAAAGGCUCACCUAGGCGAUGAUCCCUAACUGGUCUGAGAGGAUGACCAGCCACACUGGAACUGAGACACAGUCCAGAGUCCGACGGGAGGCAGCAGUGGGGAAUAUUGCACAAUGGGCGCAAGCCGGAUGCAGCCAUGCCGCGUGUAUGAAGAAGGCCUUCGAGGUGUAAAGUACUGUCAGCAGGGAGGCGUUACCCGCAGAAGGAGCACCGGCUAACUCCGUGCCAGCAGCCGGGGUAAUGC